GCCUUCCGCGUCCGCCCCCCCCCCCCCCCCCCCCCCCCCCCCCCCCCUGUGUCGCCUCCAUCUUAGCAUGGAUUCGGACAGCGAAGAGAUGACCAUAGUCAUGGAUGAUGUGGAGAACGAAGAUUACAGAUCAGACAAUGAAGAUGAUGACGACAUGGAUGAUGUGGAGAACGAAGAUUACAGAUCAGAUAAUGAAGACGACGACGACGAUGCCACAGAAGAGGGUGAAGAUUGGGAGGUUGAAGAAAAUGGGGAAGUGUCUUAUCAGUGACACUGUACCCCAAGUGAUCUAUACCAUAGAAGAACAUGCUGUUUUUGUGAUUGGUCAGUGAUUGCUAGUUUUCGAUUAUGUUAUCUGGUGUUUGGUAAAAACAAAAAGUUUAGAGAAUGUUGUAUAUUGUUUUUUCCUUUCAAGUGCCUUUUAAUGCUGAA